GGAUUCUAGGUAGAUGCAAUGCCAGACUAAAACUUCAGGCAAAAGUAGCAAGCUCCAAAUAGAUGUGUAAAAAUGUGCAUCUGGAGUAAGUGUGCUUUUGAAAGACAACAAAUAUCAUACCAGCUUUAGGAAUACUUGUUAGAGUGUACAAAACUUUCUGGAUUGUUUUAGAGUGUACAAAACUUUCUCGGAUGAGGACCGAGCAUUGAUGUCUAUUACAUUACUCUGGAUUUUGCAUUGUUAUUUCCCACUGAUGUAGAACAUUGGUGGCCGCCAUUGUAAAAGAAAAAAACGCACAUCUCUUGUAUUCUCUUCCCUUUCAUUAACGAACCUGUAAC